UACGAAGGGGGCUAGCGUUGCUCGGAAUCACUGGGCGUAAAGGGUGCGUAGGCGGGUUUCUAAGUCAGAGGUGAAAGCCUGGAGCUCAACUCCAGAACUGCCUUUGAUACUGGAAGUCUUGAGUUCGGGAGAGGUGAGUGGAACUGCGAGUGUAGAGGUGAAAUUCGUAGAUAUUCGCAAGAACACCAGUGGCGAAGGCGGCUCACUGGCCCGAUACUGACGCUGAGGCACGAAAGCGUGGGGAGCAAACAGG
rnacentral:rRNA from 1 species